CAUCUGAUCCCAACCCCUCCCCUUCUCCCACCUGAAUUUCGUCGGAACACCAGGAUCACAGGACGCGUACUUUUCUGUAUUGUUAGGGUAUGGUCUCAUUUUUUUUUUCCAAAGGCGGAGGAGUCUCGCUGCAUUACAUUUUCCGUCACCCGUGCUCUACUGAUGGUGAAUUGUACACUGUGAACAUUUUCGCCUAAAUCAGGCCAUAUUUCAAACCGGGCUAAGCCCCAUUCCAUUUUGUCUUUCUUGAUGACUGAAAUGAAUGGAGCAUGCUGUUCUUCUAGGCCCAUGUCUGUCGGACCAGCUACCAACAAGGAGCGGUAUGGCUAUCGUAUAAGUAGUGUUUGCAGUUCAAGUUCUAUAUGUCCUUAAUAUGGAAAUAUCUCUUUAGGGGUUCAUUUUCACCAUGUUUGGAAUUCUUAAAGCUUAUGCAUGUCUUAAUGCUGGAUUUAGCGCUUUCUUUUUGAAAUUCCAGUGCUUUAGCAGUAUAUAUGGCUGUGGAGCUGGUGUGCUGGGUGUACAUCCUAUAAUGUUGGCACGACAUGGUGAAUUAGUCCAUGACUAGUGGUGGGUUGAUUCCCAUCCUGGUUAUGAUUCGCAUCCUGAGAAUCCUGACAUGCUUGGUUACACAGGCCAUCCAGGAUAUCCAUAUUACGGACAGCAGCAAGCACAGGAGACCCCAGUACAGUGAGGAUGCCAGCUCAGGGAACAUCUCAGUUGCAAGGAAUUCCAUGUGCUCUGAGCAAUUUGAACAGCAGCGCGGUUGAAGAGAGGUCAUGCUCCAGUUGAAGGUGUGCAUCAUGGACAUGCAUGGAGGUGAGGAUGCUUUUGAUCUCCUCCUCAAAAUGGAGAAUUGAUUGGUCCGUCAUUUUCCACACAUAUAUGCAACAAGAACAGACAUAUCACAUGGAUAUCAAGCGUCAAGAUAGCUAGCCAGUGUAUGUGAAUGUUGCAACUUAUCUAGCUCUCGCCCUCGACUCAGGUUGUCCAUUCAUCAUAGGUGUGGAUGGACCCGGAGGAAGGAAAUCUGCUUCAGACUUUGACAUGCGACGUUUUUGUAGGUUUAUCUGACCAGUUCUAUUCACUCCGUACAUGAAGUGUGCAUCUUCGGGGUGUAAAAGGCCAAGAUUUUUUGUGUUGUCUAAGGAAAGACAGGCGGCACAUAAAUAUCUCUUCAAUAGAUGCAAACCUUUCCCGACUUUUUGGUACUAACAGUGAAUUUUUCAGGUUACCAUGUAGUUCAUUUUUCUUUUCGGGCCGAAAACACACAAUGUAUUUUUGGUGCUUGCUCAGCACCUCGUUGUUGUUCUAUGUAAUGUACACUGGCAAAGAAAAAUCAUAGGUAUAGAUACUGCUAUAUACUGUAUAAUGUACAUGGAGAAAUUUUCAUAAAAAAUAUGGCUAUUUGUACCUGGUAUAAAAAGACAAGAGAUAAGUUCUUUC